CAAUAGCGUGUGUUAAAGUUGUUGCAGUUAAAAAGCUCGUAGUUGGAUUUCUGGUGGGAGCGAUCGGUCUGGCGCUUAGCGCGAGUACUUGCAUCGUCUCCGGCCAUCCUUGGGGAGAGUCUGUCUGGCAUUAGGUUGUCGGACAGAGGAUCCUCAUCGUUUACUGUGAAAAAAUUAGAGUGUUCAAAGCAGGCUUAUGCCGUUGAAUAUAUUAGCAUGGAAUAAUAAGAUAGGACUUUGGUACUAUUUUGUUGGUUUGCGCACCAAAGUAAUGAUUAAUAGGGACAGUUGGGGGCAUUCGUAUUCCGUUGUCAGAGGUGAAAUUCUUGGAUUUACGGAAGACGAACUACUGCGAAAGCAUUUACCAAGGAUGUUUUCAUUAA
rnacentral:rRNA from 1 species